UCACCCUUAUUUCGUGAGUUCUCGCAGAUGAUCGGAGAGAUUCGGGAGGCUGCGUCAUAGAGCGCGCGCGCGAACCCGGGCGCUUCGUCAUUGCGACGGAGGUUGUCGUGUGUCGGCACUGGCCCGUGCAAGCGCUCGCUCCGUACCGCACCGCCGCGCCUCGUCUCCGUGCGACCGUCGUCCCGCGAGACGUGAGUCGCGACCGCGGUCCACUGUCCGUCCGCGCCCGGCAGGGGUCUCUGGCUUGUAUACCGGUCAUCUUCAACGAGUCCGCGCCGACCAGCACCGUCAGAACUUAGGUACCGGUGCGGGUAUCCGCGCAGUGCAUGUGCUCGUGUAGUCCUUAGCUCUGUGACCACGCUCCCCGGGACCGACGAUUGUGGCGCGAUGUAAAGAAGCCGCGACCGCGAAUCAUGUGCACAAGACGGUGAGCGGGAGUUGGCGGGGAAGAUGUCUGCGCCGGCGGCGGCGAGCUGAUAGCAUGCGGGCGGCGCGCGCGCCCGCCCCGACCUAGCCGGACACACCACGACCGCCACGUUCACGGGUGCGCUGGAGGAGGGCGCGCUGGGCGGCGGCGGCGGCGGCGGCGCGCUCGGCGCGCUGCGUGCGGCCGGCUCGCCGCCCGCGCACUGCCUCGGUGCCAGCCGGCACAGCCUCAUAGGUCAGUGCUCAAUCUUCGUAUCUAGACACGCUACUCCAGCCAAGUUAAAAAAAAGAAGGAACUGGUGACGCAACAGAGUGUAAAAUUACACGAACCAUUUCGAGCUACUUUUGAAUCCUUCAUAACUUCAAACCUUUAACAUGAAACUUGGCACAUUUAUUUAAGCUCCUUAGCUUAUCUAAAAUACAAAAUUUCAUAAACGUAGAUCAAACAGUUAUUGAUAAAUUAACGUUUAAAAACCGUCAUUUUUGUGACUGACUGACAUAUAGAUCAAAAACCUAACUCACUUCCAGAUUAAGUAAGAAACUUGAAAUUUGGCAUUAAGGUAGACUUUUAAGUGUAUAUAGAGGAAAACAUCUGAAACCGAAAAUUAUUCAUAAUUAGAUGAUAAACAAUCAUAUAUUGAUAAUUAUUAGAUUUAUAGAUCAAAAACCUAACCCAUUUCCAGAUGACCUAGAAACUUGAUACUUGGCAUCAAGGUAGACUACUAGACGUAUACAAAGGAAAAAAUCUGAAAUCUGAAAAUUUUUGACAAUUGACCGCGCGUGGAUCGCCUUUUCAGCUUGAGCAAAACUACUUUCAUGAUUAAUAGUAUAGUAAUUUCUGUACAAAAAGUAAUGAUAUCCCAACAAAAACAUAUAUGUGAAAUGAGAGCCAAGUUCAAUAUUAAGAAUAUGUGUCGUUGUUGACUCGCCGACAAAAGAAUUGAGAUCUAUAUGGGUGCCAAGUUCUGCGCUGUGUUGAAAAUCCUGUAAUUAUAAAGGAUUUGUCUUGGCUAGUUUUUACGUAUAAGCUAUAUUAUAUUUGUCUAUGUUACUUUUCUAAAAACCUGUGGUAAAAACUAGCCAAGUGAUCUUUUAAUAAAUUCAGGAUUUUCUACACAGCACAAAACAUGGCACCCAUAUAGAUCUCAAUUCUUUUGUCGGCGAGUCAACAACGUCACACAUUCUUAAUACUAAACUUGGCUCUCAUUUCACAUUUAUGUUUUUGUUGGGAUUUACAUUACUACUGUGAUAACACUAUAAGUUCUGGG